AUGCUUUUAAGAGCUGUGAUAUUUUUGAAAUGAUCUAUUGUGUCUAAUUUGUAUAGUCCAUGGAUGAUAAGCAAGGUUUUACCCUUAGUGGCUUUGUUUUUCUUUAUUUUCAGUUUGAGAACUUUGAAAGACAAACAGAUAAUUGGAUGCACAGAGAUGAAGCCAAGAUGUUUCUUUAAAAAAAGAAUCAAAUGGAAACUAAUGAGGUGGAACCCAACGUUGUCAAGGCAGUGAUGAGCUUCAUCUACGAGGCAUUGCUUUAACCUGAAGGAUAUUUUGCGGAUUGCAAUUCAGAAAUUCUUUAUGACUUCAUCUUAGAGUUUUGCUAUAAUGCUAUACUGUAUACAGAUCCACUCUCCAUCCUCGGAUUGCAUCAAAGAUUUGCCUUGUUCUCCAGUGUGACAAACAUGAAGCAAAAGAGGGAGGUGCUGAGGCCAAUGGAAGAGGGAGUUCUGGGUAUUUAUUUUCUCAGCUUCCUCCCAAACAGGUGACAAUGGGUUUAAAACAUCCCUCUUUUAAUGGCUACAGCUCCUGUCUGAUGGCUUUUACCACACAUAAACCCAAGGUUAUUGCCCCAUCCUUUGCCAUUUUGGAAAUAACAACCUCAAUAAACUGUCCUCAAAUUAGCUAAUUUGAAUGUGUCAUAACUUUCUUGCUGUGACCUCAACUGAUACACCUUCUUAGAGAGAGAACACACUACCUGAAAAUAACAUAGACACUACCAUUUAGAAGUUAUGUGAUCUGGUUAACUUGCUUAGCAUCAUUUAGCCUGUUUCUUUAUCUGUAAUUAUGGUUAAUAACAUCUACCUAUGAAGAUGUGAGAAGAAGACAUU